GGCUCGGUAGCUCAGUCGGUUAGAGCGCCGGCCUGUCACGCCGGAGGUCGAGGGUUCAAGUCCCUUCCGAGUCGCCA
rnacentral:tRNA from 2 species